GUGGGGAAUAUUGGACAAUGGGCGAAAGCCUGAUCCAGCCAUGCCGCGUGUGUGAAGAAGGUCUUCGGAUUGUAAAGCACUUUAAGUUGGGAGGAAGGGCAGUAAGUUAAUACCUUGCUGUUUUGACGUUACCGACAGAAUAAGCACCGGCUAACUUCGUGCCAGCAGCCGCGGUAAUACGAAGGGUGCAAGCGUUAAUCGGAAUUACUGGGCGUAAAGCGCGCGUAGGUGGUUUUGUAAGUUGGAGGUGAAAUCCCCGGGCUCAACCUGGGAACUGCCUCCAAAACUGCAUGACUAGAGUACGGUAGAGGGUAGUGGAAUUUCCUGUGUAGCGGUGAAAUGCGUAGAUAUAGGAAGGAACACCAGUGGCGAAAGCGACUACCUGGACUGAUACUGACACUGAGGUGCGAAAGCGUGGGGAGCAAACAGGAUUAGAAACCCUAGUAGUCC
rnacentral:rRNA from 1 species